CCUACGGGGGGCAGCAGUCGGGAAUAUUGCGCAAUGGAGGAAACUCUGACGCAGUGACGCCGCGUAUAGGAAGAAGGUUUUCGGAUUGUAAACUAUUGUCAUUAGGGAAGAUAAAAGACUGUACCUAAGGAGGAAGCCCCGGCUAACUAUGUGCCAGCAGCCGCGGUAAUACAUAGGGGGCAAGCGUUACUCGGAAUCACUGGGCGUAAAGAGCGCGUAGGCGGGAUAGCAAGUCAGAUGUGAAAUCCGGGGGCUCAACCCCCGAACUGCAUUUGAAACUGUUGGUCUUGAGUAUCGGAGAGGCA
rnacentral:rRNA from 1 species